UUUAAAGCUUCCACCCGUUGGCCAAUCGCCAAACAACUCGCUAGACCUUCGAUGGUGCCCCCCUUUCACAUGUCCGGGUCGGCGUGCGGGGCGCUAUCAAGCCGAUGUGGCAAGGGGCACGUCCCAACACCGGUUAGCCUAAGGGGGAAGAUGUGGUCUAUCUCAUGCAAGUGUUUCAUGUAAAUCUCACCCUUGAUGAUAGCAAACUUGUAUCAAACACACUACGCUGCUCUUUAUGCGCUUCCGGUUACGCUUAUUUUCAAGUGGAUCAAAACACUUUUGGUUCUAAAUGUUAGACUAGAUGUUUAUGUUUUUCGUAAGCAAGUAAAUGUUGUUGCUUGUUUUACUAGUUCAGAUUAACGUUUGUUAUAAAACCUUAUGGCCUGUUGGUUGUAAUUCGGUUACAAAGGGCAUUUUGGUAAAUCUGAAUUUAUGGUAUGAAAGUUUUAAAAAGUUGGCG
rnacentral:lncRNA from 1 species